CCCUUAGAUGUUCGGGGCCGCACGCGCGCUACACUGAAGGACUCAGCGUGUCUCUCCCCCUAUCCCGAAAGGGAUGGGCAACCCGUUGAACCUCCUUCGUGCUAGGGAUUGGGGUUUGCAAUUAUCCCCCAUGAACGAGGAAUUCCCAGUAAGCGCGAGUCAUCAGCUCGCGUUGAUUACGUCCCUGCCCUUUGUACACACCGCCCGUCGCUACUACCGAUUGGAUGGUUUAGUGAGACCCUCGGAUCGGUCCCGACUCGGGGUGGGCUUCUGCCCCGGUCGUGGUUUCGCCGAGAAGACGGUCAAACUUGACUAUCUAGAGGAAGCAAAAGUCGUAACA
rnacentral:rRNA from 1 species